rnacentral:lncRNA from 1 species
GGAUGAGCAAUUAUCCCCAAUAGCCUAAAUACAAAAUAUAAGAACACAUAGUAGAAACUACAAAAACAUUUUUACCGGCAACAAUAACCUCGUUGAUAUAGUGGUAUUGUUGAUAACUCAAAAAGCCCCAGCGUUUUGUGCGCGAAAAUUAUAUUAAUAUUAACGAAAGCGAAUAUGCUGAAUAUGUAUAAAUCUGCAGAAGAUACAUAUGUAUCAUUAAUUUUUCUAUGUACAAUAUUGUAAGCAACAUAACUGAUCGGAACAGGAAAAGUAGAUGAGAAGAGGGAAACGGUUAGGAUAGCGUGAAAUUCAAGAUCAAUGCGAAAGAAAUAAAUUAUAAGGGUUAAAUAAGGCAUAAAUUAAGGAAGUCAUCGAAACAAAACCUAAGAAAAAAACACAAGACAGCAGGGGAAAACAGUCAUAGAGACCUAAGGGCCUCCAAGAACACCAACUUAUUACGAAAGGUAAAACGAGGCAGUUGUUCUACAUUAAGAAUGGGAUGAUGGCACGACGGUUUGCUGGAUACUUCGGAAACUUUUUACAGUACCAUUGAUGGGCUUUUAAUGCUCUUGGAAGCAUCAACAGAAUCUCUGACAGGAAGAACCACCAAAAAGGUUCGGCAGAAGGACCGGCUGCCAAGUAGCAUCCAAACCAUUCAAUCCAUUCGCAAAAGUAAUUGGGACACGAAACAUACUGGAAAAGCCCUCCAUAGGGAAUUCGAUAAUACGAAUUCUCAGAUUGUACGGUGUCAAGAUUAUCGGGAUCCUUUUUUUUAUUAGAUGAUCUUCUUAGGUCGUAUAAGAUGUUGUCGUGAUACAUAUUUCCCAACCAACCCAUUAACCAAAGAAACAUACCAAUGUAUCGACGAAUGAUAGACACUGGAUGAUGCUGGACGCUAGCUUGAACCAAGUACAGACCUAUUGACAUACCGUUCAAAAAGUUAAACAAUACCGCAGAAACAAACACCGUCCAAUGCAUGGGUGAAACUUGUGGUGCCAUCAAAAGAGGACUCACUAGCGCUCGGUUGGCGUAAUGAACUAAAAACAUACCAGCAAGUACCUUUCGACAGCUAUCCAGAUAAUCUCGGUUCGACCCAUCUCCAAGAGAGGGCAGCGUCGACUCGAAGUGUCGAUUGUUACGAAUUGCAUAAAGGAACGUCAGUGGUGCUACCAGCUCCAUCAAUACCCAUCCCACUCUACCCGAUAUGUAUCCUUUGCUGAAUAAUUUGCUUUGCUUGGCUAAUUUGCCAUGCGGCGCAUUUACAAACAGAGUGCAUGGGAACACUCCGACAACGAAUAUUUUCAACAGUUUCAGGUAGUCUGAAUAAAACAUGUUGAAAAAAAAAAAAAAGCGAUUUCUUUACCUAGAAGCACACAAUUCUUCUCGUCAACUUGAGGCAGACUUACAAUAAUUUUCCAAAUUCUUUCUAAAUUGGAAACGAAAAAUUGCACAAUUUCAAGGUGCAGAAGUCGCUAAAAAUUUGAUAAAAUCUUAUAACAAAAUCUACUCACUUUAUCACGAGAUCUCUCAGCGAUAUUAUGCUCCAAUUAACGUACCUAUCGGGAAAUAAAAGUGACUGGUUUUUUCGUUAUGUUGGGAUGGGGAGGUGGUGUGAAAAUUUCUGAGUAUAUAUAGUAAAGGCCCCCAAGACAGUUAGUCUUUUCUUCAUAACACAACGCCUCUGUGGUAAAAGAAAUCUCUUCGUUCCCUCAGGAAGAA